rnacentral:rRNA from 1 species
UACGUAGGUGGCAAGCGUUGUCCGGAUUUAUUGGGUUUAAAGGGUGCGUAGGCGGUCCUAUAAGUCAGUGCUGAAAUAUCCCGGCUUAACCGGGAGGGUGACAUUGAUACUGCAGGACUUGAGUAAAGUUGAGGUAGGCGGAAUUGACGGUGUAGCGGUGAAAUGCUUAGAUAUCGUCAAGAAUACCGAUAGUGUAGACAGCUUACUAAGCUUUAACUGACGCUGAGGCACGAAAGUGUGGGGAUCAAACAGG